rnacentral:sRNA from 1 species
UUUCUUUUUCUUCUAAGGUUAUUUCUGAGUAAUCUAUUCAACUAGGAGCCUGCGCUAUAAAAUAGAGAUAAAAGGAUUACCAUAUGCUCAUUCAUCAAAAACUAUAGAGACAUGAAAAGAAAAAUGAUAUUUUUAUCAAAUCAACAGAAGGAAAGAUCCUUUACCAGGUUUGAAUUCCACCGUCCU